CCUACGGGGGGCAGCAGUGGGGGAUAUUGCACAAUGGGGGGAACCCUGAUGCAGCGACGCCGCGUGGGUGAAGAAGCGCCUCGGCGCGUAAAGCCCUGUCAGCAGGGAAGAAAAUGACGGUACCUGAAGAAGAAGCCCCGGCUAACUACGUGCCAGCAGCCGCGGUAAUACGUAGGGGGCAAGCGUUAUCCGGAUUUACUGGGUGUAAGGGGGGCGCAGACGGCUGUGCAAGCCAGGAGUGAAAGCCGGGGGCCCAACCCCGGGACUGCGCCUGGAACUGGGUGGCUGGAGUGCAGGAGGGGCAGGCGGAAUUCCUGGUGUAGCGGUGAAAUGCGUAGAUAUCAGGAGGAACACCGGUGGCGAAGGCGGCCUGCUGGACUGCAACUGACGUUGAGGCCCGAAAGCGUGGGGAGCAAACAGGAUUAGAUACCCGGGUAGUC
rnacentral:rRNA from 1 species